GACCCAAAAAAUUUUGAUAAAAAAAUAUAUGAAUUAAAUUUUUUGAAAAAAGAGAAUAAGCUAUGAAGGCUAUUAAAGAAAUAUGAGAAAGUUAUAUUUUGAUGUAAGAGCAUUGACCUAUUUAAAGGCAUGGACUACUAUGAAAAAAAGGAAUGAGAUCUAUGAUUAGAAAAUUCAUUCAAAAUCAAAUUUGAGAGCUUAUGAAUUAAAGCCAGAAUUCUUCC
rnacentral:lncRNA from 1 species